rnacentral:rRNA from 1 species
GAUGAACGCUGGCGGCGUGCUUAACACAUGCCAGUCGAACGAAGCACUUUAUUUGAUUUCCUUCGGGACUGAUUAUUUUGUGACUGAGUGGCGGACGGGUGAGUAACGCGUGGGUAACCUGCCUUGUACAGGGGGAUAACAGUUGGAAACGGCUGCUAAUACCGCAUAAGCGCACAGCAUCGCAUGAUGCAGUGUGAAAAACUCCGGUGGUAUAAGAUGGACCCGCGUUGGAUUAGCUAGUUGGUGAGGUAACGGCCCACCAAGGCGACGAUCCAUAGCCGACCUGAGAGGGUGACCGGCCACAUUGGGACUGAGACACGGCCCAAACUCCUACGGGAGGCAGCAGUGGGGAAUAUUGCACAAUGGGCGAAAGCCUGAUGCAGCGACGCCGCGUGAGCGAAGAAGUAUUUCGGUAUGUAAAGCUCUAUCAGCAGGGAAGAUAAUGACGGUACCUGACGAAGAAGCACCGGCUAAAUACGUG